rnacentral:rRNA from 1 species
UACAGGGGGGGCAAGCGUUGUUCGGAAUUACUGGGCGUAAAGGGCCAGUAGGCGGCCAACUAAGUCGCACGUGAAAUCCCCAGGCUUAACCUGGGAACUGCGUGUGAUACUGGAUGGCUUGAAUUCGGGAGAGGGAUGCAGAAUUCCAGGUGUAGCGGUGAAAUGCGUAGAUAUCUGGAGGAACACCGGUGGCGAAGGCGGCAUCCUGGACCAACACUGACACUGAGGAGCGAAAGCCAGGGGAGCAAACGGG